rnacentral:rRNA from 1 species
AUUGAACGCUGGCGGCAGGCCUAACACAUGCAAGUCGAGCGGAGCGGCGGACGGGUGCGUAAUACCUAGGAAUCUGCCCGGUCGUGGGGGAUAACGAUAAGAAACGGAAGCUAAUACCGCAUACUAUCAGAUGAGCCUAGGUCGGAGUAGCUAGGUUGUGAGGUAAUGGCUCACCUAGCCUACGAUCCGUAUCUGUUCUGAGAGGAUGAUCAGUCACACUGUAACUGAGACACGGUCCAGACGCCUACGGGAGGCAGCAGUGGGGAAUAUUGGACAAUGGGCGAAAGCCUGAUACAGCCAUGCCGCGUGUGUGAAGAAGGUCUUCGGAUUGUAAAGCACUUUCAGUUGGGAGGCGUUACCGACAGAAGAAGCACCGGCUAACUCUGUGCCAGCAGCCGCGGUAAUUG